GAUGAACGCUGGCGGCGUACCUAAUACAUGCAAGUCGAACGAAACUUCUUUAUCACCGAGUGCUUGCGCUCACCGAUAAAGAGUUGAGUGGCGAACGGGUGAGUAACACGUGGGCAACCUGCCCAAAAGAGGGGGAUAACACUUGGAAACAGGUGCUAAUACCGCAUAACCAUAGUUACCGCAUGGUAACUAUGUAAAAGGUGGCUAUACUACCGCUUUUGGAUGGGCCCGCGGCGCAUUAGCUAGUUGGUAGGGUAAAGGCUUACCAAGGCAAUGAUGCGUAGCCGAAUUGAGAGGUUGAUCGGCCACAUUGGGACUGAGACACGGCCCAAACUCCUACGGGAGGCAGCAGUAGGGAAUCUUCCACAAUGGGCGAAAGCCUGAUGGAGCAACGCCGCGUGGGUGAAGAAGGUCUUCGGAUCGUAAAACCCUGUUGUUAGAGAAGAAAGUGCGUGAGAGUAACUGUUCACGUUUCGACGGUAUCUAACCAGAAAGCCACGGCUAACUACGUG
rnacentral:rRNA from 1 species